rnacentral:rRNA from 1 species
AGUGAACGCUGGCGGUAGGCCUAACACAUGCAAGUCGAACGGCAGCACAGUAAGAGCUUGCUCUUACGGGUGGCGAGUGGCGGACGGGUGAGGAAUACAUCGGAAUCUACUUUUUCGUGGGGGAUAACGUAGGGAAACUUACGCUAAUACCGCAUACGACCUACGGGUGAAAGCAGGGGAUCUUCGGACCUUGCGCGAUUGAAUGAGCCGAUGUCGGAUUAGCUAGUUGGCGGGGUAAAGGCCCACCAAGGCGACGAUCCGUAGCUGGUCUGAGAGGAGGAUCAGCCACACUGGAACUGAGACACGGUCCAGGCUCCUACGGGAGGCAGCAGUGGGGAAUGUUGGACAAAGGGCGCAAGCCUGAUCCAGCCAUGCCGCGUGGGUGAAGAAGGCCUUCGGGUUGUAAAGCCCUUUUGUUGGGAAAGAAAAGCAGCAGGUUAAAACCCCGCUGUUCUGACGGUACCCAAAGAAUAAGCACCGGCAAACUUCGU